rnacentral:rRNA from 1 species
GACGAACGCUGGCGGCGCGCUUAACACAUGCCAGUCGAACGGAAAGGCCCGGCUUUUGUGGGGUGCUCGAGUGGCGAACGGGUGAGUAACACGUGAGUAACCUGCCCUUGACUUUGGGAUAACUUCAGGAAACUGGGGCUAAUACCGGAGAGGAGCUCCUGCUGCAGGGUGGGGGGUGGAAAGUUUCGGCGGUUGGGGAUGGACUCGCGGCUUAUCAGCUUGUUGGUGGGGUAGUGGCUUACCAAGGCUUUGACGGGUAGCCGGCCUGAGAGGGUGACCGGCCACAUUGGGACUGAGAUACGGCCCAGGCUCCUACGGGAGGCAGCAGUGGGGAAUAUUGCACAAUGGGCGGAAGCCUGAUGCAGCAACGCCGCGUGCGGGAUGACGGCCUUCGGGUUGUAAACCGCUUUCGCCUGUGACGAAGCGUGAGUGACGGUAAUGGGUAAAGAAGCACCGGCUAACUACGUG